GACGAACCGUGCGAACGUUGUUCGGAAUCACUGGGCUUAAAGGGCGCGUAGGCGGGCUAGCAAGUCUGGGGUGAAAUCUUUCGGCUUAACCGGAAAAGUGCCUUGGAUACUGCUAGUCUCGAGGGAGGUAGGGGCAGGGGGAACUUCUGGUGGAGCGGUGAAAUGCGUUGAUAUCAGAAGGAACGCCGGUGGCGAAAGCGCCCUGCUGGAUCUCUUCUGACGCUGAGGCGCGAAAGCUAGGGUAGCAAACGGG
rnacentral:rRNA from 1 species